GGUGGGUUGGCAGAGCGGUCGAAUGCACCGGUCUUGAAAACCGGAGCGCCUGAAAAGGCGCCGCAGGUUCGAAUCCUGCACCCACCG
rnacentral:tRNA from 1 species